AUUAGGAAAUAUUGAGAAUAAAAUAGAAAAACUUGAGGAUAAAAUAGGAAAUAUUGAGAAUAAAAUGGGAGAUAUGGAAGAUAAAAUAGGAAAAAUUGAGGAUAAAAUGCAAGCCCAAUUAGAAGAUCUAAAAUGUUUCUUACAGGAUCAAUGGGCAAACACCCACUCUAUCAGAAACAGACCUGUUUCUGAACCUUUGAAUGAGGAAAUUUCCUUCCCUGAAAUAGAGAUGGAAAACACCUUCCCUAUAGCCCAGUUAACAGACUGCUUCUCUCGUGUAGUGCAAAUCUUGUCUGAAUUUAAUCCCCAAAACCCUUCCCCUGCAAUCCCAGCUUCUCAUGUUCCUUCUCCUACAGAAAACCAAAUUCCAAUGCAAGGGAGAUCUUGUCCUCCUAGAGAAACCUGUCCUUGUCAAACUGACCCACAGGUGCAAAAUCCAACUAGAGGCCUGUUUCCUCUAAGAGAAGUACCUGAAAUAGGACGAAAUGGGGAUGUGGUGACUUUAAGACAUAGGAUACCGUUUACUCCCCAAGAAAUAAAUGAAUUUACACGAAAUAUCCCCACAUAUGAACAAGAUCCUUUUCUAGUAACAAAAAAGAUGGGAGACAUAUUUUUUCAGUAUAAUCCGUCUUACAAGGACGUUGAGAGCUUACUACAGGCUUUUUUAAGUGAACGUGAAAAAAAUAAAAUAAUUGCUCAUGUCAACAAAACCCGGGGGCGUAAUGCAGCACAUUGGCCAUCUCAGGAUCCCAAAUGGGACUAUAAUAAUCCUGAGGACUAUCUACAACUAUACCGUUGUAGAGAGGCCAUCCUCACGGCCAUGAAGGAAUGUGCGGAUAGUACAGAUAAGUGGAUGGAACUGGAAAAAAUUAAGCAAAAGGAAAACGAAACACCCUCCAGAUUUAUGGACAGAAUUAUCGAGUUUGGGGACAGAUACUUAGAUUGGGACUUAAAUAAAGAGAAUAGUUUAAGACAAGUUAGAAGAAUCUUUGUAAACAAUUCUUGCAAAGUAAUUAAAAAUUAUUUUAAAACACAAUGCCCAAGAUGGUCAGAUAUGGACCUUGAAGAAUUGCGAAAAACAGCUAUAUAUGUUUUUAAGGGAAACGAAGAAAAGGAGAAAGAGAAUAAUGAUGACAUGGAGGAAAUGAAGAAAAAAAUGAGAUGUGUAAUAGAUAGGAUAACUAAAUUAGAAAGUGGGCAUGAUAAUGAACCAACGACAAUUGCCCCUCUCCAGAAAUCCAAUUAUCAAUCCAUUACUUGCCACUUCUGUGAGAAGAAGGGCCACAAAAUGAUGGAAUGUAGAACCUUUCUUAAGAUGUUUGGAAGGAAUACACAGUUUAAUAAUGGUUUUAGAAAUAAUAACUAUAGAAAUUAUGAUAAUGGUUAUAGAAACCAGAAUUCUAGAAAUUAUAAUAAUGACUAUGGAAAUAACUAUAAUGAAUAUAGAAAUAAGAACUUUAGAAACCAGAAUUAUAGAAAUAGGAAUUGGGAAAUUAAUGACAAUGCUCAAAUUGAAGAAAAUUUUAAUGAUAAUACUCAACAAUAUAUGAGAAAUGGCGCUCGUCCAAAAAUUACUCGAGGUGCUAAUGAUCCUCAGAGAGGUGCCCUUCAGGAGGGUGCCCAGGGAACUUCCCAGUAUAAUAAAGAUGAUUCUUCUUAGAUUGUAUUGAUUUUGUUGAUAUUAAUUAACCUUUUUCAGUUUUUUUUCUCCU
rnacentral:lncRNA from 1 species